AUGGGGGGGAACUCUGAAGGCCUCAUUGCGGCGGAAAUGACUCCCCCAACACAAACAGACUUUGGGUCAUUCAACAGAGGUCUGGCUGCUUCAAUCAUCUCCAACCUUGGGAUCGCAAGUGCCACAGCCCCAACGGUCUUCCCAUUGCCUCCCUGUAGCCAAGACUCCUCUACUGCCUCCCAGGUCUCCAUAGGUUGUCUGGUCUCUGGUUACUUUCCUGAACCGGUCACAGUACAGUGGAAUUCGGGAGCCAUCUCCAGCGGCAUCCGGACCUUCCCUGCACUAUUGGAUUCAUCCAGUGGCCACUACACCCUCACCAGCCAGCUCACCAUCCCAACCAGCACCUGGGAAUCAGAGAAGUUCGAAUGCAAUGUCACACAUUCAGCUACUGGCUUCACAGCCAACAAAGACAUUGAGCACUCGCCUGCGAAACCACCAGUGGUCCCAGAGGUUCGCCUGCUCCAUUCCUCCUGCGAUCCCAGGCAUGCCACCAUUGAGCUGCUGUGCAUUAUCUCCAGCUUCUACCCCAGCAGGGUGACGAUAGAGUGGCUAGUGGGUGGGCAACCUGGCUUGCUAUCCUCGGUCACAGCACCACCCAGGAAAGAUGCCCAGGGAUACACCUUCAGCACCACAAGCACUGUCAACGUUAGCAAAGAAGACUGGCAGGCUGGGAAUACCUACCACUGCCAGGUGUUCCACGAAGCAACCCAAACCAAAGUGAAAAGCAAAGCAAGAUAUGUGAAGGUAGGAAAUGUUGACUGA